AACGAACGCUGGCGGCAUGCCUAACACAUGCAAGUCGAACGAGACCUUCGGGUCUAGUGGCGCACGGGUGCGUAACGCGUGGGAACCUGCCCUUAGGUUCGGAAUAACUCACCGAAAGGGGUGCUAAUACCGGAGAAUGUCUUCGGACCAAAGAUUUAUCGCCUUUGGAUGGGCCCGCGUUGGAUUCGCUAGUUGGUAGGGUAAAAGCCUACCAAGGCGACGAUCCAUAGCUGGUCUGAGAGGAUGAUCAGCCACACUGGGACUGAGACACGGCCCAGACUCCUACGGGAGGAAGCAGUGGGGAAUAUUGGACAAUGGGCGAAAGCCUGAUCCAGCAAUGCCGCGUGAGGGAUGAAGGCCUUAGGGUUGUAAAGCUCUUUUACCCGGGAUGAUAAUGACAGUACCGGGAGAAUAAGCGCCGGCUAACUCCGUG
rnacentral:rRNA from 1 species